UGUGCUCAUCCCUGCAAAGAAAAUCUCCUCCUGAAAAAUUAAGUCAUACCCUCCUCUUCGACGACCAGCCAUGGAGCUUUCAAAAAGAAAAAAAGGAAGAUGAUCUAUCAUGGAGGAAGUUCUAUCCAGCAGCCGUACGACCUCAGAAUUCUGUUCUCGAUAGAUACGUUUCGCAACUGCAAGCUGGAGAAGCUGUCUGUGCCGGUCCAUGGCCUCUAUGCCUGGGUCGAUUUCCUCCUAAACUGUAGCGGGCGGCAGCCAGUUGCGUUAUCUCUUCUCUUUGGAAUCAGAAAAAAUUAUCAAUCAACGGGCUGGAUCGUCUACUUACUUGGCGCACCACGAUCCACUAGCAGCACUGCAGAGUCCUUCCACCGAUUGCUCUUCUGCUUCUCAUUGUGAUAUAUGCAGUAUGCCGCGAGCAUGCAACAUGGCCUCUCAGUGCAGGUUGACACGGAAAUCCACCCAAUCCAGGACCAUGAGCAGAGGCACGGAGGGAUUGUCAUCCGCUUCAUCCAAGCAACACAUACAAAUUUUUCAUGUAGGAUAUACGUACGAGUGAAUAAACAUCUUUUAAUAAUUUAAUUAGCAAAUGAUGUCACAUCAUUAUGAGA